CACCGCCCUCGCGUCGCCACGGCAACAGCCCCGCUGGUCCCGCCCCGCCCUUAGGCCCCGCGGGCAGGAAGAGGCCGACAGAGCUCGGGCUUCGCUCCCGCACUUUAUUAUCGGGCCCCGCACGCUGUGACACCACCGCCGGGGGCCGCGUCCUCAGAGGAGGGUCUUCAUCAGCGCCUGGGCCUGCUUCAGCUCUGCCAGCAGCACCCGGAACUUCUCCGCCGACACGGCCAUGGGCACGGCCUCGGGCUCCCCGUGCUCCCGGUGCCGCACACGCAGCAGCAGGUGCACCAGAGGUUCGCCCACCUCCUGCAGCUCGCUGGAGCUCAGUGCGUAAUCCACCCGCCACGACACGCCAUCCAGGCGGCUCAAUCGGAGGCUGCCAGCCCUGAGGCUGUCCUGCAGGGAGCUCUGCUUCUCCUCGUAGGAGCGGCACAACCCCGUGGCGUGUUCUUUGGGCAGUCCCAGCUGCUGCAGCUCGCUGGACAAGGAUUCGCCAUCCACAUUGUGCUUGGCUGCGUUGGAGAGGAUGAAGUCGAGCACAGCGAUUGCAGCCUUCACAUCACCUGACUCGAGCUUGGCAUCCGACGUCAGCUUCAGGAUCUUCUCAUAGUCGAUGGUCUCUCCCAGCAGCUCCCGCAGCACCUGAGCGCAGAUGAGCUUCAGCUUCACCGAGGAGAUUCGGGCCAGCACGCUGAUCUCGGCCAGCACCCAGUCGGGGCAGUCCAGGUCCCCGCAGAACCGGAACCGCAUGGCGCUACCGCUCCACUCCCGCAGGUUCCGCCUCCGCGACCCGGAACCGCUACGGGGACCCCGCGGGACACCGGCCCCGCCACCGAAGCCCCGCCCACCGAAGCCCCGCCCACCGCUUUCCCGCUACGGUUGGGCUCUACUCUGCAGUCCUCACCCAGGUCCGCGCUGUUCCCGCGCCCGCCGGGUGGAGCCGCCCCGCGGCUUCAGCGCACCGCCGUUUCGAGUCGCGGAGCUGUAUUUGGCUGCUCUGUCUUUAUUUCGUGCUUGUGCCCCUCCGUGCUUACCCGUCUUUAUUUUCAGCUGCAGCCGAUGGAUGGCUCGGCUCGUUCGGCUUCUCCCAGCCGCAGCUCCGGCACUCAGCUCAGAGCCGCUCUUUGCUCCGGCAGCUGCGCGCCCGGGCCCUCAUUCGAUCGCUGCGUCAGUGGGAACCGCAUCUGCACGGUGCGUGAAUAGCGAGGGCAGCAGCUCGGGUUGAGAGGGGAACGAGGCCGCGGGGAGCUGAAGGGGUGCGGGCAGGAGCGGAGCUCUUGGACUCCUGCCACUCGCAGCGGUCUGGGGGCAUGGGGUUUGGGACUUGCCCCAGCCGGGACCCCACCCUUCAUAGCAGAGCCCUGCGCCCCACCAGGCUGGUUUGCGACCCCCAGAGCCCGAGCAGGGCAUGAAGAGGGGAUGCUCUGUGCAGUUGCUGUCACCCUAACACGUGGUGACCAGAGGCUGGGGACAUCUCUGGGGCCACCCAACCACGCGGACUGACUCCAGCGGGACCUAUGGAGAGCCACCAUGGCAGAACUGGGCACCGCAGGGGGCUAAAGCCCUGCUGGGGCAUCCCACUGCUGGCAGUGCUCUGGCCCCAUUGCAAUGCAACCCCCAACCCCAACCCCAAGUGGUGGAGGCAGUCUUGUAGCUGGGGACUCUGCUACUCCAGAGCCACAGCGGCGCACAGCGACAGCACGACACAGUUUGUCCUUUCCAGGCUUUAUUCACGGCUCGCCCUGCACUCACACCGCAGCUGAGGUUCGGGUGCAUCCCUUGCGUGCAAUACCUACAGCCACCCCAACGGCAGCCAGAGCUACAGCCACGGCCACGCACACCAGCCCCGUCCCCACGCUGGGCACCAUCACCGCCGCACCUGCAAACCCAAACCCAGCCGUCAGAGCAGUGCACUGCAGCCACACCACAAGGGCACAACCACAGGGACUCACCGUCACCACCCUCUUCCUGCUGUCCCACAGCUCCUGGGUCCGCCGAGAGCAACACGGGGCCAAUGACCACAUCAGCUGCAACCUCUUUCCCUGGGAAUGAUGGAACCAUGAGCUGCGCUCCUCCCUGCCCGGGUCUCCCCAGCCCCACCGGGGGACCUUACCGGCAUCACGACGGAAGCGGCGGCUCUGCCAUCUCUCCAUGGGGUUGAGCCUCCGGGAGAGCGCAGGCGGCUCGCAGUUGCCUGUCUCACAGCAGUUGCAGACAUCCCGGCUGCCUUCCACUGGCACCCAGCUGGAGGAGGAUGGCAGCACUGUUACCGGUGAGUUGGGACCCCCGGCAACCCCCCUCCCCCCUCUCUGCCCAAAGGACCCCAAGAACAUUGGCAAACACACGCUGGAGGAGCGUGAGGUGGUGUCCCAGCAUCAGGUGGCGCCUCAUCCACCACCUCCCAGACCCACACAGAGGGUUUGUGUCCCAUGUCUGGGCUGGUGCUGGCCCCUAAGUUGGAGCCUGUGAAACACCCUGGUUUGUGCCUCAGCUACUCACGUGUUUCUGGCUUUAUUGAAGGAGCAAGCCUUGUUCUGAGGGUCUGGGCCUUGGUCUGCUGGGGUCACCUUCAGGUGGCAGGUGAUGUAGAUCUGUGGAAAGGCAGGGGAAGGGCUGGGGACCUCUCCCUGGGGACAGCAUGGCUCAGGGUAGGUGUCGGGGAUGGACACAGCAUACGGCCUUACCAGGUUCCUGUUGUCCCCCGCAAACCUGAAGACAUCGAUCCUGAACCUCAGCACAUCCUCCCGUGGCCGGGGUGUGAUGAACGCAGAGCUAGUAUCAUCCACUCUCCCAUCCACUAAGCACCUGGACACGGGGCAGAGGGGCGUUGGGUCAGCAUCCUGCUGAGCCCCCUGAGCACAAUGACCCCCCCCCCAGGCUCACCCGUUGAAGUCAAUGAUGGCGUAGUGGGGCGAGGAGUCACCAUCAGGGCUCAGGGCAGCCACACAGCUGUCCACAAAGAGCCGCAGGGGCACAUGGUUCUCAGUGCUGACCUCGGCCUGGAUGUUGAGGAUGUCGCCCAGCUGGAAGCCGGUGAAGGGUCUCUCUGUGCUCCAGUCAUCUGCGGGGCAGGGUGGUGAAACAAGGGGGUGAGAGAAGGGAUAGCAGAAGUGAUGGCCAGGGAGCAGUGGGGGCGAUGGCUUUGGGACAGCUGGGUGCCCCAGUAGGGUAACUGGGAGUUACUGGGGUAACCCUGCCGAUGCACGUGGUGCCAUCCCACAUACCACUCAUGAGGCGCAGGGAGAACACCAGCCUCUCCUCGGCUGACAGUGCGGAGUUGAAGGGGGACCAGGUGGGCCGGAUGGCAUUGCUGCUCACGUUCUCCCUCCUGUCAAGCAACAGCAUCAGUACCCAGCUGGGCACUUGAGGGGACGCGGGGGGACGGUGAGGGUGCAGAGCCCUUACCUGGGGUAGUGGCACUCGAUGGGGAUGACAGCAGGGUUGGUGCGGAUGAUGACGGGGUUGCUAGCAGGGCUGGGGUCGUAGUUGAUGAGCGUGCGGUAGAUGAGGGUGUCUGGCGUCACCUGGGCAGGGAAAGUGCACAAAGUUGGCAACGAGGCACUGAGACCUCCCCCUGCCACCCACCCACAGCUGUCUCUUUCCAUUGGGAAGUGCAAAAAGGAAAUAAAGGGUAAAACGCAGAGGGUCUCCAGCUGUAAGCACAAAGCAGCUCCGGGGGAAGAAAGCUCCUGUCUGGGAGGAAACCACCCACCCGGGCUAUGAGAUCUCACCUGCACGACGCUGCCGCACUCGUGGAGGCCGGCGGCGAAGGUGACGGUGUUGUGUGCGGCGUUGAGCGAGGAGUGCUUGCAGGCAGCCGGGCCCAGAGUCAGGUCAGCAGCGUUGAUGAGACGCCCUGUGCCGAAGAGGUCCCUGUGCACCGUCACCACCAGCUGCGCCUCUUGGCACUGCACGGCCACCGGGUGCGAGCCGGCCACGGCCCGUGAGUGCGCCUCGGCCCCCCAGGACCAGGCAGAGGGGUCCCCUCGUGCUGCCCAGGAGAUGUCCCAGGGCGUGUAGGAGCCCACCCCGGCCACCAAGCAGCACAGGAGGCCCAGCACCACGCGGCCGCCUUGCAUCCCGCCUGCUGCCAGCUCACCCAGCAUGGGAGCUAGGGCAGCUCCGCUGUGCUUUAUAUCCCCCGUCCCCGCUGUGCCGUCUGCACGUGGGGAUGAGGAGGCAGAGUCAUUUCCGGGGUGCUGUGCCCCCCAUCCCAGGCUGCCCAAGGCGAGAGAAAACAUCCUCGUCAGCCUCUUUGGGGGAAUUGUUUAGAAAACUCAGCAGAAGCCGGAGACGGGGAGACGGGGACAGAGCGGCUUGUUUAGGUUUGUGCCGGGCGAUAAGGGGCUUUUCAAGGCCCCUGGGGAGGUGAUGCAGUAGGGGGGGGGGGGUCAGAGGUGGGGGCUUUCCACCACCCCCAGCCCUGCUCAGAGCCAUUCCGGAUGCCGCUGCCCCUUGGUCCCUCCAUAGCAUCCCAAGCAGGGACUUUACGCAUCCCACUGCUCACCAGCAGCACGAGCGCAGCCGUGCUCAGCCAGCCCCAUCACACCCUACUGCAGCCUGCGUUAGUCAGCCCUGCCCAGCACCCAUCCAGAUACCCAGGGUCACCCCUUAGCAGAUGGAUGGCUGCUUAAAACUCAGCCCCACGUGCUCUCAGCCCCUUCCUUGGGUGCCUGUAUGUCUUUGUGCACGGUGACACGAAGGGUGUUCUGUUCCGCACCACGGAUCCUUCCCCAUCUUUGUGAUGCCCUUAGCUAGAAGGCAGCAGGCUAAGGCAGGGGGCUGAAGUGGAGCUCAGCUGGUCGCUGGGAAAUGGAUGGAGCUUUGGGUCAGUUGCCAGCCAGAAACCCCCCUGAAUUUGACGCAACAUCCCAAGAGCACGAUGCACAUGCAAGCAUGCUGUAUUGCACAACCUUCUGCCCUCCUGCUGGCUCUCCUCCCCAUGAAGCAGGCCAGGACUUCUCCCUGGUGUUUAGGAUACCUUGAGAUUGGUGCUUGCGUAGAAAUGCCAGGCAUUCCAGCAGGGAGCCUCUGUCUUCAGGAGGACGUUUGGCAAAGGCACUCACGCUGACAGCAGAUAAGAGGAACAGGCAUUGCUGAAUCAGUAAACAACGGCUGGGGAGCGUGGGGUGAGGGCAGGAGCCUCGGCUGGUGAGGAGGGGGCAACUCAGGGGCCCCUCUGCCAGGAGCAGGGAGAAGCCGAUCAGGACACAGAGCUGGGGAAGGUGUUUGUCUUAGGAAAAGGGAAAUUCUGUCCUGACUUGAUUCCAAGCAGUGGAUGGCUUGGCCACAAACCAGCACAUCCAGGAAAGAGGGCAAGCACAGAGCCGGAGGAAGUAGAGAUCAAAAGUCCCAGGGCAAGCCCCAAAGCUGCAUUUUUUCCCCCAUGUUCUAUGAAGGGGGCUUAAAAGCACAGCUCCUUUCUCCUUUUAACACAAAGCUGCUCAGGAGAGGAUGGGGGCUGUUAGGGGGAAUGACCACCCAUGGUUGCAAGCCACAUAUCUGCUAACAGUAGAGCAAGCCUAUUAAGAACAAGGCUGGCAGAAGAAACCCUUCCUCCUUCCCAUCAUGGAACUCAGGGGUUCUGUUUGCACCUGGCAGAGAGCAUCUGCUCUCAGGUUGGGAGUAGGAGCACCUUGCCAGCUGCUGCUUUGAGCAGAAGAGCCCCAGCUCCAUAGCACAGAGAGGAAAAGCCCCUUUCUGUGGUGGUGGUGGGGGGGCAGGGGGGGGAAAGCAGAGGCUGAAAUUCCAGUCCCUGCUCCAAGGACUGUUUACACAUAUCUAUAUGUAACGAGCCUUGGAUGAAAUGCAUAAACAGUCCUUGGGGCAGGGACUGGAAUUCCUGCCUCCCUACAGCCCAGGAAGAGCCAAACCAUCCCCGCAGCUCUCCAGCCCCCCUUAGCAGGGACCCCCAUCCCACCAGCCCUUACUCACAGGGUGGACAGCACGAGCCAGAACCCCCCCCCCCCUUCAACCCCCAGGAAGCCUCCCAUUGUGGGUCACGUUUACUUUUUAUUGGAUAUUAGAAGCUAAAAGUUGAGAACACGAUUCAGACAGGAUUGCUGUGCCUGGCGGGCAGCCAGGGCUCCCAGAGCAGCAAGGAGCAGGACGGCCAAGCCAGCAGCCAGCCCCACAUGGCUUCCAGCACCUGCAGGGGAGAAGCCAAAGGUGGUCAGAGGCAGAGAUGGGCCCACACCCCAUCCUCAUUACCCACCUGCUGAGGGCACCCUGCCUGCUGGGUGCUGCCGGUGGCUGUGGAUGAGCAGAGGGCCGAGCAUCACAUCUGCUUCUCCCAACGUGGGACCCGAUGGCCGCUCUCUGCGGGAUCGCCCUCUGCGCUGACGGGAUGGGGUGAAGGGCUGCAGGGAGCGCCGUGCUGUGCCACAGCUCUGUGUCUCACAGCAUGAGCACACAGCCCGUGUGCCCUCUACAGGCGCCCAGCUGGAAGAGAGCCUGGUCACCAGCCUGCCCUAUAGCAGGGACCCCACUGCACUGUGGGGCACAAGACAGGCAGCCCAGCAGCACAUCCCAGCUACUCACAGCCCGCUGGGUUUGUGGAAGGAGCAAGCCUUGUUCUGAGGGUCCGGAGGUUGGCUGGCUGGAGAGACCUUCAGGUGGCAGGUGAUGUAAAGCUGAGACACCAAGCAGCAGGGUGAGGUGGUCGUUCACCUUAAAGGCACACACAUAGCUUCCCCGUGCCCUGUGAGGGACCACUACCUCCCUAGGGCACCCCAAACACCACUGCUUCUUUCAGAACAUCGAGUGCAGACAUUCAAGUCUAACCUAAUGGGGCUUGUCUUGACCAGAAGCAUCCCCCAAGGAGGAGCCUGGGCUCACAGGGCUACAGUCAGAAGCAUUAACACCCCAUCCACAUGUUAUGAGCGAAGAAGGGGACAGACUCUUAAGCAGAGUCUGUUGAGGGGUAGGACAAGGGGGAAAUGGAUUCAAACUGGAAGAGGGGAGGUUUAGAUUGGAUGUAAGGAAGCUUUUUUUUUUUUUACACUAAGGGCAGUGAGGCAUUGGCACAGGAAGCCCAGAGAGGCAGUGGUGCCCCAUCCCUGCAGACACCAAGGUCAGGCUGGGGGCUCUGAGCACCUGAUGUGCUGUGGGUGCCCCUGUGCAUCGCAGGGGUUGCACUGAUGGACUUUGAGGGUCCCUUCCAACUCAAAUGACUUUGAGAUUACUUGUCCAGGCAGCUCCAACAAAGCUGCAUCGACCCACUCUGUGGCACAAGGUUGGACCCCACCUCAACAAGGGAGCCCAUUGCUUUAGGAAGGAUUUACCAGGCUGCUGGAGUCUUCUGCAAACUUGAACACAUCUACUGCAAACUGAAGCACAUCUAGCCGGGGCCUUGGGGAUAUAAAAGUCGAGGUGGUGUCAUCCAGCCGCCCAUCCACCAUGCACCUAGGUGCAAACAGAUAUCAGCCAGGUGACCGAGAGCCAAGGCUUACAGAGAGGUGACCCAAGACCGUGGCACAGGCAGCUCUUACCCACUGAAGUCAAUGAAGGCAUAGUGGGGAGAGGAGCCCCUGUCUGGGCUGGGGGUGGCCACGCAGCUGUCCACGAAGAGCCUCAGAGGUGCGUGGUUCCCCACGCUGACACUCGCCUGCAUGCGGAGGACCUCCCCCAGCUGGAACACAGCAGAGGCCCUCUCGGUGCUCCAGUCAUCUGGAAUGGAAGUUGGGUGGAUCUAGUGCCUCCCUGCUUCCACGCAAGGAACCCUACAUGAGGGCAAGGCCCCGGGGCUGCCAGCCCUGCACCAACACCUGAGGAGCUCACACCAAAGGAAGACCCCUGCCCCAAACCUACCAUUCAUAAGGCGCAAGGAGAAGAGCAGCUUCUGCUCAGAGGAGAGGGUGGAGUGGAAGGGUGCCCACGUGGGCUGGAUGGCGUGGCUGCUCACAUUGCUCCUCCUGGGGAGUGAUGCACGUGAUCAGAAGGCUCUGCGACUGCAGGAGGGCUUGGUGCCCAUCCACAUCAACUCACCUCGGGUAGCGGCACUCAAUUGGGACCACAGCAGGGCUGGUGCGGAUGAUGACAGGGUUGCCAGCAUGGACUGGGCUGUAAUUCAAGCUUGUGCUGUAGAUGAGAGCCUCAGGGGUGACCUGGGGAGAGGCAGAUUGCAUUGCCCUGUCACCAAGAACCCUUUUCCUCCAGCCACACGUGUGGAGACCCAAGCCUCUCCCAGGGGAUAGAGCUUUUGUUAAAGCAGCUUCAUGCCACUCUGUAACAAUCAGAAAGAUCAAUGUGGUGGAAGGGUCAUGCAGGAGCUGAAAUAGCAAAGGGAUUAGUGCAAUGGAAAGGUGUUACAAAGAAAAAGGAAAAGUGCUCACCCACCACUGAAGAUCAAGGCUUGCAGGGGAAACUCCACAAGGGAGGGAUCUCCAACCAGAGGUCCUUCUCCAGUGGCAGUCAGCCCUUCAAUGAGGUCUAAGAGAGGUGCAGCCAGGCUCCACCCCUUCCUAUCACACACCUGAAUUGCCUUCACCUGUGCUCCCAGGGCUGACCGGGUCCUUUCCCCAGGUGCUCAAUCAGUGGUUCAGGCCAGGACUCAUCAGUUACCAUACACAUGCUCUAGCAACAGUAGGCAACAUCCAGAUGUCCCUAAACUCAGCAUCAGCUGCUGGGGCUCUGAAGCCCUCAGAGAGAAGCUGAUACUCCCAGCUAUAAGGAAAACCUUGUGAUCAUUUCCCCAAGCACAGCAUCCAACCGCUAUGCUCCAUUAAGCGUUGCGUCAGAGAGCAGCACCACCAGCCUUGAGAAGCUUUGGCAGUCACUUCCUACCCUGCUGAAGCAAAGGAAAGAAAGCAGCCAGAACUCCCCAGUUAAACACCCAGAAGCUCAGCAUCCCUUACUACACAGCACCCCAAAGUGCAAACAAGGAGCCAGCCCUCACCUAAGGCCCCCAGCCUUACCCUGAGGGUGCUGCCGCACUCAUGCAGCCCAGCCACGAAGGUCA
rnacentral:lncRNA from 1 species